ACAGAGGUCUCAAGCGUUGUUCGGAUUCAUUGGGCGUAAAGGGCGCGUAGGUGGCCACUGCAAGUCAGUUGUGAAAUCUCCGGGCUUAACCCGGAAAGGUCAACUGAUACUGCAGGGCUAGAGUGCAGAAGGGGCAACUGGAAUUCUCGGUGUAGCGGUGAAAUGCGUAGAUAUCGAGAGGAACACCUGCGGCGAAGGCGGGUUGCUGGGCUGACACUGACGCUGAGGCGCGAAAGCCAGGGGAGCGAACAGGA
rnacentral:rRNA from 1 species